GACGAACGCUGGCGGCGCGCCUAUAUUAGAUUAGCUAGUUGGUGGAGUAACAGCCUACCAAGGCAAUGAUCUAUAGCUGAUCUGAGAGGAUGAUCAGCCACACUGGAACUGAGAUACGGUCCAGACUCCUGCGGGAGGCAGCAGUGGGGAAUAUUGGACAAUGGGCGAAAGCCUGAUCCAGCCAUGCCGCAUGAGUGAAGAAGGCCUUUGGGUUGUAAAGCUCUUUUAGUGAGGAAGAUAAUGACGGUACUCACAGAAGAAGUCCUGGCUAACUCCGUGCCAGCCGCCGCUGUAAUAC
rnacentral:rRNA from 1 species